GCCGCCAUGGCUCAGGAGGGAGAACACCUGCUUUGCAUGCAGAACGUUCCUGGUUCAAUCCCUGCUGGCUGCC